rnacentral:rRNA from 1 species
UAGGGAAUCUUCGGCAAUGGACGAAAGUCUGACCGAGCAACGCCGCGUGAGUGAAGAAGGUGUUCGGAUCGUAAAACUCUGUUGUUAGAGAAGAACAAGGACGUUAGUAACUGAACGUCCCCUGACGGUAUCUAACCAGAAAGCCACGGCUAACUACGUGCCAGCAGCCGCGGUAAUACGUAGGUGGCAAGCGUUGUCCGGAUUUAUUGGGCGUAAAGCGAGCGCAGGCGGUUUCUUAAGUCUGAUGUGAAAGCCCCCGGCUCAACCGGGGAGGGUCAUUGGAAACUGGGAGACUUGAGUGCAGAAGAGGAGAGUGGAAUUCCAUGUGUAGCGGUGAAAUGCGUAGAUAUAUGGAGGAACACCAGUGGCGAAGGCGGCUCUCUGGUCUGUAACUGACGCUGAGGCUCGAAAGCGUGGGGAGCAAACAGG